CUAGCUUGCUAGGUGGAUUAGUGGCGCACGGGUGAGUAAUAUAUAGAUAACGUGCCUCUUAGUCUGGGAUAGCCAUUGGAAACGAUGAUUAAUACUAGAUACUCCUUCUAACUCUAAUGUUAGUCGGGAAAGUUUUUCGCUAAGAGAUCGGUCUAUAUCCCAUCAGCUAGUUGGUAGUGUAAGAGACUACCAAGGCAAUGACGGGUAGCGGGUUUGAGAGGAUGAUCCGCCACACUGGUACUGAGACACGGACCAGACUCCUACGGGAGGCAGCAGUGAGGAAUAUUGCACAAUGGAGGAAACUCUGAUGCAGCAACGCCGCGUGGAGGAUGACGCAUUUCGGUGUGUAAACUCCUUUUAUAUGUCAAGAAAAUGACGGUAGCAUAUGAAUAAGCACCGGCUAACUCCGUGCCAGCAGCCGCGGUAAUACGGAGGGUGCAAGCGUUAUUCGGAAUCACUGGGCGUAAAGGACGCGUAGGCGGGAUGCCAAGUCUGAU
rnacentral:rRNA from 1 species